rnacentral:lncRNA from 1 species
GGCCGCAUCGCCGCGCACCGGGGCCGCGCACCGGGGCCGCGUCCUGCCAGCGCCACUGUUUGCUCUGCUGCUGUUUGAGCAGGGCCGGGUCCGCCGCGGGGGGAGGUUCCCGGGGCGCGGGGGGGCUCCCCCGGGUCGGGCCGGGCGAAACGGAGUCCCCGUGUCCCGUGCCGGGAUCCCCCCCCGGUGUCCGCGCUGCCCGUCCCCAGGGCUGGCGGCGGGGGGGCUGCACAGGGAGGGACCCCAGAAGCACCCCCCAGGCCCGGUGAUGGGCACAGCCCCUGGGGCACCCAGUGCGGGGUCUGGAAGUGGGUGCAGUGUGGAGCCCCCCCGCCACGUGCCCCAUCAUUUCCCCACCUGGCAUCACGCACCCUGUCCCAGCGGGACACCCGGUGCCCGCACCACCCUGUGGGGAGCCCCCCCAUGCUGAAGGGGUCCCGCAGCAAAGUGACCAAGGAUGGGCGUCCUGCCAGCCCCCAGCGGGACAGGGACGUGAGGAUAGAUCCCGGCACGGCUCUGGGGCCAGGCCAGGCUGGCACGGGAUGCAGCCGGAGGAACGAGGAACCCCUGGUGGUGGCACAGGGCCGGGGGCCUUGGGGACACUGUGGCGCUGGGGAUGGCACCAGCAGGAGAAGUGGCACCAAGGCUGGUGCCCCGUGUCCUGCGAGCUGUGCCCUGGGGAGCAGAGCAGCGAUGGGGGCUGGCAGUGGUGGGGAGCAGGGAUGGGCACGGGUGGGGGGCCAGGGGUCCGUACCCAGCUGUGCUUGCCCCCACGCAGCAGUGAGCAAGGAGGCGAGCGCAGCCCUGGGCAUGGGCAGCGCCUGGCACGCCAUAGCAGCCGUGGCACAAAUCACUGCAGGGGCUCCCGAAGCCCCUCACUCAUGGGCAGCAGGGCUGGGGUGCACGGCACAGCCCCACCCGCUGCAGCUUUGGGCACCCACCAGCACCCCCGGCAGGAUUGGGAGCUCCCAAGUGGGCAGCAUUUGGGGAGGACCCGCACCCCUCACAUGCAGCCACAUGGAUCACCCCCAGCCGCGCUCCCCCACCGCAGACCCCUCCGUCUGGCCCAGGAGUGACGGGGCCCGGAGCCGGGGCACCGCGCACCCCGCUCCACCCGGCUUCCCCCCCCCGGGGCAGGGACGGCGACAGCAGCUGUCACGUCACCGCCAGCACCGCGUCACCUCCGCAGCUGCGCCAGACCCCAGGGCAGGGUCCCCACCCGGCAGCCCCCAGGCUCCCCCGGCAGGGCAGGGAGAGGCAGGGACGCGGCACCGCGGCAGCAGCCGGCCCCCUGCAUGCAAAUCCCCACGCAGCGCUGCUCCCUCUGCGGCGCCAUGGAGGGGGCACGGAGCUGGGGACACCCCCCCCGUGGUGGUUCCCAGCCCGGGGUGCCCCCAGCCCUGCCCAUGCCGGGCACAGCGGAGGGGACAGCACGGAGCUGUGGGGACAGGACGGGACAAUGCGCACGGUGCCAGGAGCACAGCACCCACACUGCAGCCACCAGCAGCGGCCUCCCCGUGCGCAGCCCCCUCAGCCUCCCCACGCAGCCACCUCCUGUCCCACGCAGCCACCAGAACCAGCCCACGGCCCCCCCGAGCAUCACCAUGUCCCCACAUUGGUGGCACAGGGACAGCUCGGGGAUGUGCUCUCAUCCCUUGGCCGGAGCAUCCCCCCAGUCCCCCCAGCCCCCCCGGCCCCCUGCCCAGUGACUGCAGCACGCCGGGAAGUGCCGAGUCAGCGCCCGCCGCAGCGACCCGCUGCGCUGUGACAGCACAGCCAGCUCCGGCUGCUCCCUCCUGCCGGGGACACUGGGCACGGUGCCGGACCCCUCCCCACCUCCCCCCAACCCACGGCUGGGGGUCUGGGCAGGCUGCAGCCCCACGGCGCUGUGGGGCAGGCAGGUGGGCAGCGGGGGCCACAGCCAGCAGCACUUGGCCCCCAGCCCGGUGCCGGUGCCCC